rnacentral:rRNA from 1 species
UGGGGAAUAUUGGGCAAUGGGCGAAAGCCUGACCCAGCAACGCCGCGUGAAUGAUGAAGGCCUUCGGGUUGUAAAAUUCUUUGGACAGGGACGAAGAAAGUGACGGUACCUGUAGAACAAGCCACGGCUAACUACGUGCCAGCAGCCGCGGUAAUACGUAGGUGGCGAGCGUUGUCCGGAAUCACUGGGCGUAAAGGGUUCGCAGGCGGAAAUGCAAGUCAGGUGUAAAAGGCAGUAGCUUAACUACUGUAAGCAUUUGAAACUGCAUAUCUUGAGAAGAGUAGAGGUAAGUGGAAUUUUUAGUGUAGCGGUGAAAUGCGUAGAUAUUAAAAAGAAUACCGGUGGCGAAGGCGACUUACUGGGCUCAUUCUGACGCUGAGGAACGAAAGCGUGGGUAGCAAACAGG